GAGCAUGUGGUUUAAUUCGAUGCAACGCGAAGAACCUUACCUGGUCUUGACAUCCACAGAACUUUCCAGAGAUGGAUUGGUGCCUUCGGGAACUGUGAGCGGUGGAGCAUGUGGUUUAAUUCGAUGCAACGCGAAGAACCUUACCUGGUCUUGACAUCCACAGAACUUUCCAGAGAUGGAUUGGUGCCUUCGGGAACUGUGAG
rnacentral:rRNA from 1 species